AUCCAGGAGGGACACAGAAGCAGCAGAGGGACCUGAGAAGGAACCGCAGGAAUGGAAUUGAUUGGGUUCAGCCUGUGUGGAUGGUCAAUUCAGGAUCACAAGAAACUGCUUACCUGGACGGUGCAGAGGACCUUUCUGUCCUGGCUUUAAUGCCAACUCCUGAGAACACUUACUGGGGGCUACACUGCCCUGAUGGCUCCUGCUAGACGCAUGCCUGAGAGAUAAGACUGGUUAUAGCAACGAGAUAAGGAAACUAUGAGUGGAAUGAAGGCAGUAAGCUCGGAGGAGAUGAAUCCUCAGGUCUUCGUGGAGCAGAGCUAUCCAGAUGUGGCCUGCCUACUCUGGGACUUCAUUGUACAAGUAAAAUAAACCUUCAUCAUAU